UCUGGGAUAUGGCAUAAGUACAGAGAAUGUCAUUGCUCAGA
rfam:Spermophilus tridecemlineatus cont1.512579, whole genome shotgun sequence.